AUUUUCUUAGGAUCUGUUCAAGACAAUGAUUGCUGAAGUUAAGAAGGCUGUAGACAACAUAUUAACAAAGCCUAGCAGGUCUAGCCGUUUUGACUUUGCACAGUGCAUAAUUAAAGAUAGUAUUACCCAUGGCCUUGAAAGAACC